rnacentral:rRNA from 1 species
UACGGGGGGGGCAAGCGUUGUUCGGAAUUACUGGGCGUAAAGCGCGUGUAGGCGGUUGUCCAAGUUGGAUGUGAAAGCCUUGAGCUUAACUCAAGAAAUGCAUUCAGGACUGGAUGGCUAGAGGACCGGAGAGGAUAGUGGAAUUCCCAGUGUAGUGGUGAAAUACGUAGAGAUUGGGAAGAACACCAGUGGCGAAGGCGGCUAUCUGGACGGUUUCUGACGCUAAGACGCGAAAGCGUGGGGAGCAAACAGG